AUCGCAAGACCUCGCGCGAUUGGAGCGGCCGAUAUCAGAUUAGGUAGUUGGUGAGGUAAAGGCUCACCAAGCCAACGAUCUGUAGCUGGUCUGAGAGGACGACCAGCCACACUGGAACUGAGACACGGUCCAGACUCCUACGGGAGGCAGCAGUGGGGAAUUUUGGACAAUGGACGCAAGUCUGAUCCAGCCAUUCCGCGUGCAGGAUGAAGGCCCUCGGGUUGUAAACUGCUUUGUACGGAACGAAAAGGUUUCUAUUAAUACUAGGAGCUCAUGACGGUACCGUAAGAAUAAGCACCGGCUAACUACGUG
rnacentral:rRNA from 1 species